rnacentral:rRNA from 1 species
UGAAUACGAGAUGCUACGGCGUCGAAGCAGUGUAUGUCAGACUUCCAAGAAAAGCUCGCAAUGUCAUAAAUAAAGAAUGCCUGUACCAUAACCGACACAGGUGGGUAGGUAGAGUAUACUAAGGGGCGCGAGAUAACUCUCUCUAAGGAACUCGGCAAAAUAACUCCGUAACUUCGGGAGAAGGAGUGCCUUCUUUAAGAAGGUUGCAAUAACAAGAUCCAAGCAACUGUUUAUCAAAAACACAGGUCUCCGCUAAGUCGUAAGACGAUGUAUGGGGGCUGACGCCUGCCCAGUGCCAGAAGGUUAAAGAAGUUGGUUAGCUUUUGCGAAGCUGAUGACUGAAGCCCUGGUGAACGGCGGCCGUAACAAUAACGGUCCUAAGGUAGCGAAAUUCCUUGUCGGGUAAGUUCCGACCCGCACGAAAGGCGUAAUGAUUUGGAUACUGUCUCGGAGAGGGACUCGGUGAAAUAGACUUGUCUGUGAAGAUGCGGACUACCUGCACCAGGACAGAAAGACCCUAUGAAGCUUUACUGUAACUUGAAAUUGAAAUUGGACUUAUUUGCGCAGUAUAGGUGGAAGGCGUUGAAAGUAAUCUUGCGGGAUUAGUGGAGCCAUCAGUGAGAUACCACUCCUAUAAUGUUAGAUUUCUAACUUUGGAUCAUGAUCUGGUCAAAGAACAGUUUCAGGCGGGCAGUUUGACUGGGGCGGUCGCCUCCCAAAUGGUAACGGAGGCGUACAAAGGUUUCCUCUGAACGGGUAGAAAUCGUAUCUAGAGUGUAAAGGCAUAAGGAAGCUUGACUGUGAGACCUACAAGUCGAGCAGGGACGAAAGUCGGUCUUAGUGAUCUGACGGUGCUGAGUGGAAAGGCCGUCACUCAACGGAUAAAAGUUACUCUAAGGAUAACAGGCUGAUCUCCCCCAAGAGUUCACAUCGACGGGGAGGUUUGGCACCUCGAUGUCGGCUCAUCGCAUCCUGGGGCGGUAGUACGUCCCAAGGGUUGGGCUGUUCGCCCAUGAAAGCGGUACGCGAGCUGGGUUCAGAACGUCGUGAGACAGUUCGGUCCAUAUCCGGUGUAGGCGUUAGAAUAUUGAGAGGAGCCUUCUUUAGUACGAGAGGACCGAGAAGGACAUACCUCUGGUGUACCAGUUAUCGUGCCAACGGUAAACGCUGGGUAGCUAUGUAUGGAGAGGAUAACCGCUGAAAGCAUCUAAGUGGGAAGCCCACCUCAAGAUGAGAAUUCUC